GAAUGAUGGAGACCGUAAUGCACUUUGUGAGAUGCGCCUUGCAAAGUUGGAUGCGUUUAGUAUCAUGAACUCCGUGGUGGUCCUCUUGGAUAGUUCCAGGGAGUAUAAAGCCAUUCUGGAUUGGAAAAGUGCAUUAGUACCCUCAAUUGCUCGAGGAGCUGAAUUGAGGCGUGAUUUGAGUUUCGCGGACGAAACUCUUUUUAAGGGGUGGAGAACGUAAUAUACCGAACUUCUAUAGUUAUGAAGUUUCAGUGGAUGUUAGGAACCAUUGGAAUCGUUACGGCGAAGUUCGGGAGUGUUCGGGAGUUUUCGGUGCGCGUUGGGCGUGAAAACAGAACCCGAAAUGCUAUGUUGGACCAUGGACAAAAUCUGGCAUAAGCGUGAAUGAAAAGAUGGUUUGAACGCUGUAACACACUGGACCUUUGCAAAUUGCAAGGUUCGAGUGUUUGAUUUGUGUUUCGAG
rnacentral:lncRNA from 1 species